UCUGGCGAGGCGGGAGCGGCUAGCAGGUCCAGCAGGCAUGUGGUGUGGAGGUUAGCUGAAAUACCCGAAGCCAGUCGGUUAAAUCCAAUAACAGACCUUUAUUUGGUGUCAGCAACAAUACACCAUACAAGCCAGGUCUCCACGGCUCCACUCUGUCCGUACAUACAUGUGCGGGGAUCGGUAGUCGCAGGCGCCAGGCCGUUACAACGAAGAACCAUCUAGUUUCAGGUUGGGAUUCCUGAAAGUCAUCAUUGUCUUUUUGACUGGGGUACUUUUUUCAGUAAUCAUGCACUGUUUGGUCAAAAAUUGCUACAGAAAAAAAAAGAAGAGCUCCAGAAAUUCUGAUGAGACUUUGGAGAUGGAGACACGUCGAAAUGAUAAAAUGAUAUGUGACGGUCCAGUAUUUCAAGGCAGUCAGAUGCUAAACUCAAACAGCGGAAGAAAAGAAGUGCAAUAUGCUACAAUUAAUUUUUCCCUGUUGAAAAGAAAUGGAAGAAAGCAGGAGAGCACGAAGACAGAGUAUGGUGAAAUUAAUAAAGCAGUCAAAGAACAACGUGAAGAUGCUGAAGAGGAAGAUGAAUUGUUAGAUGCCAAAGAAGAUGAGAUGGUGGUGGAGUUGGAGAUGAAAUACCGUGAACCAGAAAAUGAGGAAGGGGGGGACGAAGCAGUGUACUCCAUUGUGAAUGACAUAAUCAGUGAAAUUUGAGGAAUGUUUUACUGUGGAGCUACCUGGGAUAAAAGUUCCUUGAUCUCAUCAGAUGUAUGAAUAAUGAUCUUUUGAACUAUUUCCACAAUGCUGUGAACCUCUACAUGCUACAGCAGGGAACAUGAAAAUUCAUUAAGUCAGCAAAGUGAACAAAUGAAGUUGGACAGAAUUGAAUUGUUCCACUGUUAUUUUGUGCCAAUAUAGUAGCCCAACAUGCAACCACCGCUGUUAUUUUUGCUAUGCUUCAAUUCAAGUUUUAUGUUAGAUAUUUUGUUCAUAGUGGUCAGCGAGACAGAAAAAAUGCUUUUUAAGAACCAAUAUGGUUCC
ensembl:lncRNA